rfam:Ictidomys tridecemlineatus contig086225, whole genome shotgun sequence.
UGGGUUGUGGUUCAGCAGUAGAACACUCGCCUAGCAUGUGUGAUGCCCUGGGUUUGAUCCUCAGCACCACAU